UGACCUCGGAUCAGGUAGGGAUACCCGCUGAACUUAAGCAUAUCAAUAAGCCGGAGG
rnacentral:rRNA from 1 species